rnacentral:rRNA from 1 species
GAUGAACGCUGGCGGCGUGCCUAAUACAUGCAAGUCGAGCGAACGGACGAGAAGCUUUCUUCUCUGAUGUUAGCGGCGGACGGGUGAGUAACACGUGGCUAACCUACCUAUAAGACUGGGAUAACUUCGGGAAACCGGAUCUAAUACCGGAUAAUAUUUUGAACCUCAUGGUUCAACAGUGAAAGACGGUCUUGCUGUCACUUAUAGAUGGAUCCGCGCUGCAUUAGCUAGUUGGUAAGGUAACGGCUUACCAAGGCAACGAUGCAUAGCCGACCUGAGAGGGUGAUCGGCCACACUGGAACUGAGACACGGUCCAGACUCCUACGGGAGGCAGCAGUAGGGAAUCUUCGGCAAUGGGCGAAAGCCUGACGGAGCAACGCCGCGUGAGUGAUGAAGGUCUUCGGAUCGUAAAACUCUGUUAUUAGGGAAGAACAUAUGUGUAUGUAACUGUGCACAUCUUGACGUUACCUAAUCAGAAAGCAACGGCUAACUACGUG